CACAUGCAAGUCGAACGGUAACAGGAAGAAGCUUGCUUCUUUGCUGACGAGUGGCGGACGGGUGAGUAAUGUCUGGGAAACUGCCUGAUGGAGGGGGAUAACCACUGGAAACGGUAGCUAAUACCGCAUAACGUCGCAAGACCAAAGAGGGGGACCUUCGGGCCUCUUGCCAUCGGAUGUGCCCAGAUGGGAUUAGCUAGUAGGUGGGGUAACGGCUCACCUAGGCGACGAUCCCUAGCUGGUCUGAGAGGAUGACCAGCCACACUGGAACUGAGACACGGUCCAGACUCCUACGGGAGGCAGCAGUGGGGAAUAUUGCACAAUGGGCGCAAGCCUGAUGCAGCCAUGCCGCGUGUAUGAAGAAGGCCUUCGGGUUGUAAAGUACUUUCAGCGGGGAGGAAGGGAGUAAAGUUAAUACCUUUGCUCAUUGACGUUACCCGCAGAAGAAGCACCGGCUAACUCCGUGCCAGCAGCCGCGGUAAUACGGAGGGUGCAAGCGUUAAUCGGAAUUACUGGGCGUAAAGCGCACGCAGGCGGUUUGUUAAGUCAGAUGUGAAAUCCCCGGGCUCAACCUGGGAACUGCAUCUGAUACUGGCAAGCUUGAGUCUCGUAGAGGGGGGUAGAAUUCCAGGUGUAGCGGUGAAAUGCGUAGAGAUCUGGAGGAAUACCGGUGGCGAAGGCGGCCCCCUGGACGAAGACU
rnacentral:rRNA from 1 species